rnacentral:rRNA from 1 species
AAAUCUCAGUUCAGACUGCAGGCUGCAACUCGCCUGCACGAAGUCGGAAUUGCUAGUAAUCGUAGGUCAGCAUACUACGGUGAAUACGUUCCCGGGCCUUGUACACACCGCCCGUCAAACCAUGAGAGUUGGCAACACCCGAAGUCGGUAGUCUAACCGCAAGGAGGACGCCGCCGAAGGUGGGGUUGAUGAUUAGGGUUAAGUCGUAACAAGGUAUC